UGUUGGAAGACGACUACGAAUUUAUGCGGAACAUCUUACCCAAGGUAUAUCAAGCCGUCAUGUCGGGGCCC
rnacentral:SRP_RNA from 1 species